CUGGCGGCGUGCCUAACACAUGCAAGUCGAACGAGGGUUUGGAAAGCUUGCUUUCCGAAACCUAGUGGCGGACGGGUGAGUAACGCGUGAGUAACCUGCCUUUCAGAGGGAAUAACGUUCUGAAAAGAACGCUAAUACCGCAUAACGUACAGUUACCGCAUGGUAGCAGUACCAAAGGAGCAAUCCGCUUUGAGAUGGCCUCGCGUCCGAUUAGCUAGUUGGUGAGGUAAUGGCCCACCAAGGCGACGAUCGGUAGCCGGACUGAGAGGUUGAACGGCCACAUUGGGACUGAGACACGGCCCAGACUCCUACGGGAGGCAGCAGUGGGGAAUAUUGCACAAUGGGGGAAACCCUGAUGCAGCGACGCCGCGUGGAGGAAGAAGGUCUUCGGAUUGUAAACUCCUGUUGUUGAGGAAGAUAAUGACGGUAUUCAACAAGGAAGUGACGGCUAACUACGUG
rnacentral:rRNA from 1 species